CACUUCGAAAGGAACACUCCUUCGGGUCACAUAUUCGUGCAAGGAUGGCACGAGAGAAUAUGGGAGAGCCAGCCUUAUAUUGGCAACAAGCCAGCUGGGAAUGUUCUUUUGUCAGCAGCAAUGCUCUUCAGCGGGUCAAACCCUAUUCCGACACUCAGGAUGCUGGACCUAAUGAAUAUCAAGGUCUUCUGUGAGCAGACAUAUUUCAACUACCAAAGGGGCUACUUGUUGCCAGCUAUUGAACAAGUGUGGACGAGUCAUCAGGCAGAACUCCUAACAGAGAUUCAG